AAACAUGAUAGUUAUUUAUUAUUUUUAAAUGCUCUAUAAAUAGCAUGGCCCCUGCACAAGGAUAACAUGCAAAUUCGUGAAGCAUUCCAUAUUUUU
ensembl:snRNA U6 U6 spliceosomal RNA